UUUCUUUUUUAAUUUUUGAAUUAGGUCGUGGGCUUGUAAAAGAGAUUUUGUAGACUACUAUUUCUCACUCUCGCAUGUAACCUUACCAGAUCUACAUAAUGCUAUGUGCCGACCAUGGUCCCUGUGUUUGGUGCUCAUAACACCAUAGUAAGUAACUACAAGGAUAGGAAAAGAUCUUCUGUCCAGUGGGCCGACCCAAGGAUUUUUAGUACCCAAGGCCUAAUAAAAAAAAACUGUGCUCUUUUAGAGUUAAUACCUAACAAUUUUUACUGCAACAAUUACAAUACAAGAAAGCCUAACCAAUAUAAAGUUAUAUUAAUUAUUACAUACGAACACAAAAUACAAAGUUUCCAAAUAGGCAAAUACAUAUUAUCUCAAGAACGCAUAAGUAUCCUACAUCAUGGAAAAUCCAUUUACGCUCAGCUUCCAAGAUAAGGUCGUGUUACCUAAAGGCAUAAGCAACUGGAUCCCGGAACAAAGACACAUUUGAUUGUUAAUUUCAAUGUGGCAAAUAGAUAGAGGCAUAUAUUUCAAGUCCCGGUGACGUUUGGACCUUCCUUGUUACAGUUACGUGGGAAAAGGGGUUUUAUGGGAAAAGUGAUUAUCGAUGGCUAUGUGCGAUCGAAGAGCCCAUUAUAUAUCCAUAAAGAUUCCACAACCAAGCUGUCCAUGAACACUGUCCAGGUUUUUUAAGACAUUACGCAUAGAUGAAUGAGGUUAUGGUAGUGAAUCAUAAGAGAACCAAAUUUUUCAUAGAAUUUUUAAUGUCAAGUGUUUCCAACAGAACUGAGAAACAUAAGUAUAAUUUAAAAACUCCGUAUUCAUUUUGGUAUAAACCUAUUCUGAUGGGUUACAAAGAGAUUUCAUGUAGACUGUUCAGACCAUUACAUAAUAGGUGCAUGGAACGUGUUUGAUGAAAUGCUGCAAAGGGGGAAAAAGAGUUCCUCCAUCAGAUGAUACAAAUUUCCAUCUUUGUUGUAAUAUUGGGUUGAGUAGGAUUUCCCAUGUACUCUGUUGAAAUUUUUCACUUCCCGUUCACCGAAGAACAUAAAACUUUAGACCUCCUCUUUUAACCAAGAUGGUUUCGAUCAAGUAUAUUCUUAUUCAGUGUGUUUGUGUGUAUUUAUUGAUUACUACGUGAUUUUUAGUUGAGGAACAAAUUUUGGCCGAACAGCGACUGGUCUCUUCAUUUCUAGUGCGAACUCUUAUGAUCUUGGCGUUUGCGAUGGCGAAAAAUUGAUUAUAUUGAAGGAUUACGAAAGGAACCAGAGUGGGGACAUUUGAGAGGUUUGCAUAAAGCAAUCAAGCCAAGUGAACCAGCUUUAGUUUCCAUGUAUUCCACGAUGACUUGGCCUGGAAAAAAUCUAGAGGUUCAUGUGUUCCAGUCAAAGGCUUUUUGUGCUUUGCAAACUAUGACACCAAUUCUGCCGCAAAAAUCACCUUUCAGAAUAUGCAAUAUGAUCUGCCUCGUCGGUCCAUCAGAGACUAGGUGUUCACCCUGUUCUCGCGAAUGUUGGUGUGCAUUAUGCGACAUAGAAUACUCCGGUUCUUGGUCCGGUUACAUUGGAGGGUCACAAUGACAGGACAAGAGACUUAAGAAAUUUAAUGUGGUCCAACAAUGUUUGUUUUCACUUUUUAUGAUAUUUUUAUGCUCCACCUUUCUUUUGCUAGACUGCAUAAGCAAUUAUGGAACUUACAAAAUCUCUUUUGUGUUUCUCGAUCUUGGAUUUAUGGAAUCAUUUGUGACCGGAAAAAAACACAACAGACUCUACUUCAUUUUCUUUUUCCUGUACAAUGAAGACAACCCCCAGUUUUUGC